rnacentral:lncRNA from 1 species
AGGAGAGGAAAGUUCCACCAUGGACCAGGGGACCAGAACAUCUGAGCCCACUGCCAACACCUCCCAUUCCCUCCCUUCCACAUCCUUGGCAACCCCAUCCACGACGAACCUUAGUAUAACAACAUCUGUUAAUCCUCCUUUUACUGGAACUUGCUCAACAGUGUCCAUUGAAGUUCAGGACGUGACUGGAGCAGAAAUACAGCUCAGCUGGACCAGUAGCAGCAAAGGCAGCCUCUACAACAUCUCUGUCAUGGAUGGAGAGGAAAUAAAUACAACAACUACAAAAGACACAAAAGCUGUGCUUAAAAACCUGCUUCCUGGCCAUGUGUACAACAUUUCUGUGGCAGUGUCAUCUUGUGCUAAUAAUCGUUCUUCAGUCACUGUCCGAACAGAUCCUGCUUCCUGUUUCGAAAUAACUGAGUUUUGUUCAGCACAAAGUACUGGCUGUUCUGACUUAAAAAGCAUUGCAUGCUCCAGCCAAGCAUUUGCCUGCAGCGUUCGGUUAAAAAACGAGAUGUUUAAUAAUACACUUUAUAACUCUGCUAGUGAAGACUACAAAACGAUGUCUGAAAGGAUCAAAACAGACGUUGUUGAAGGAAUUCAUGCUGAACUGCCACAGUGGAAUGACCCCUUCAAUAUUGUCAUGCUGGAUUUCAGACCUGGCAGCGUGGUUGCUGAUUUUCUCUUUCUGCUGCCAAAAGAAGCCACGGAUGUGGAGAAUAUACAGACCCACCUGAAAAAAGUAUUAAGGAACAAGUUUGGGCUGUUCCAAACUGAAGUGCAAGCUCUGUCUGUUCAGUCAUCAACUGACAACAGUUCCUCCUGGAGAGUAGCAGUGAUUGUCCUUGGAGUUUUACUUGGAGUUGCAUUAGUGCUGAUUGUCCUGGCAAUACUGUUUUACAUCUAUGUGAGGAGAAGAUCAGGUAUGGAAUUUCCCACAUUGUACACGUGGUAGAGUGAGGAACAGAGAAACUUCUCUUCAGCCUAUCCCCUAUAGGUACUGCAAUGACUCCUAACAGUGGCAAGCUAGAGAGACAGGAUCCAAACUACUCAAUACUGUAUUUAGGUGACACUGAAAGCAGGGUGACUGAGCCUGGUAGCUGUGGCAGAUCACUUGAAUGCUCAGCUGAGCCCAGAGUCACCCUGUUGGGUUUUGUGCACUUGGCCAAGGGUGAUUCACCUCCCCUGAGACUUUUAUCACAAUAUAAAGACUUUUAUCACAAUAUAAAGACUUUUAUCACAAUAUAAAGAUGCCUUUUUCUCUCCUGUGACUGCAGAAUGAGCCCAGGGUAAUUAGCGUCCUAGCAUUGCAGCUUGAUCAGGAGUUUGGAGAAAAAUGGCAUACAUCUCAGUUAUGUGGGCUUGCUAUAGAAAUCUGGUGGACCAGAAACUUGAUUUGGACACUUCUCAGUUCAAAGUUUCUUCAAUUGCUGGGCUGUGAAGGAAUAACUGCUCAUAUGUGUGAAAUGUAUAGCAUGCUAAAUACAGGUGUGGUUCCACAGCAUAGUCUCAACAUGUUAGUAGAUGGGGAAGGCAAACAUUAGGUUAAUUUGAGCUAAAAGUAUUUUACUCACCUUUUUUUGCCUGUCAAAAAUGGUUGGCUGAGCAAAGAUGUGUCAUAAAGUGCAAUAUUGUCCUGCUCUUGAUAAUCCUAAAGUAGAAUCCAAUAGAAGAAACUCCUGUGGCAUUGGAGCAGACCUUGCUUUAGAUUUCUUCUAAUUGCUUUAGAGCAAUUAGAAGAAAUGAUCUUUACCUUUUCCCACCACUCUUCACUGCAGUCCUGGAGAAGUUACAGUCUGUUUCUACUGUGGUGCAGUUUUUCCUGCUUGGACUGUGGUGAACAGAUGAUAAUGGGGCAGUUUACUGCUGUUCAUAUUUCCAGCAGGAUUUAUGUGUUCCAUUUCGAACCAGCUCUCCCUGUAGCUGUACAUUUUGUCAGUCUGCCUACACUCGGAAUUCCUGUUGAGGCACUGAGUAUCCCGUGAUGUUGAGGCCCUGGCUCACACCCCCUGAACACCCCUGUUUUUUGGGGAUUAGGUUAUGGUUAUUUGGCACAGCUUAGAGUGAAUUGGUGCCAGGACUGCAGCACAAGGUGGGAGCUCAUCACAAACAGCUCUGCUCCAUAUGCAGCCAGCAUUCAUUCUUUUCAUCUCUCCAUCCUUGUGCUCCAACAGCUCCUGGCAGAGCCCUGCCGAGGACCCUGGCUGGAAUAUUAUUUUUAGUAGCAGGGACCUAUGAAACAGGGUCUUGCAUGCUCUCCCUUUCACAUGGAGGUCUUGCACACCCUCCAUGCAGUGUCAACUCGUCUAUCCUGAUUAGGUCUGGGGUGUGGAGUCAUAGACACCUCACUGAUGGAAAGAGAGUGAUUAAUAUUUGUUAAACUUUUAUUAUGUGGCUUUUAAAUAUAGCUAUCUCUGGGUGUUCUACUCACUGAACAGUCACUCAACAAUGUAUUCUGUCAGUAAAUACAAGUUCUCUAGGGAGCUCUGUUGAAAAUACAAAUGAGUGCUCUUGCUUAUGUUAAUACUCUUUUAUUUCUUUUUUUGAGGGAUCUACUUUAAAUAGCAAAUCCUCAUUGUCAGUAAACCUUUCUGAUGUUCUUGUAAAUAGUGUUAAAUAGAGACCAUGUACAGCAGGCUUCAACAGUCCUGGGAUUGUUCAUACAAAAUGUAUUUAAUGUCUUUGGGGGGAAAAAAAGUGGUAUUUUAAACAAUUUUCUCAAAGAUGCUAUACAAAUAAAACCUUUAUUUUUACAAUUGUG